UGCCUGAAUGUAACUGUU
rnacentral:piRNA from 1 species